UUUUCAAUGUCCUAAAAUGGCUGGUGUCUUUGUUUCACACAUGCAUGCAUGUAUGAUCUCCCUACUAUCUGUUAUCAGGCCUGCUGAAAGACAAUCGUAUGGUAGGGCUUCAACCAAGAAGCCAGUGACAAGCACUCAAGUUGCUUCUCAACAAGGACAAUGUUCAAAGCUAGACCGUAUGGAAGUUUUUCGACAAUUUUUUAUUAAAUAGGUACUUGAAGAUACAAGUCGAGCAGGAAA